CUGGCUCAGGAUGAACGCUAGCUACAGGCUUAACACAUGCAAGUCGAGGGGCAGCAUGGGAUAGCUUGCUAUUCAGAUGGCGACCGGCGCACGGGUGAGUAACGCGUAUCCAACCUUCCUGCCAGUAGGGAACAGCCCGGCGAAAGUCGGAUUAAUGCCCUAUGUUCUUCAAUGCGGACAUCUAAGUUGAAGGAAAGAUUCAUCGCUGGCAGAUGGGGAUGCGUCCGAUUAGCUUGCCGGCGGGGUAACGGCCCACCGGGGCGACGAUCGGUAGGGGUUCUGAGAGGAAGGUCCCCCACACUGGUACUGAGACACGGACCAGACUCCUACGGGAGGCAGCAGUGAGGAAUAUUGGUCAAUGGGCGUAAGCCUGAACCAGCCAAGUAGCGUGCAGGAUGACGGCCCUACGGGUUGUAAACUGCUUUUAUGCGGGGAUAAAGUGCGGCACGUGUGCCGCUUUGCAGGUACCGCAUGAAUAAGGACCGGCUAAUUCCGUGCCAGCAGCAGC
rnacentral:rRNA from 1 species